GGAAUUACUACAUCCAAAAACCUGUUAUAUGCUCGCUGUUGCACUUGCAUGGAGUUAUUUCAAGCUCACUAUAAAUACUAAAGCUGGUGCUUAUAGUUAUUUAGAGUGCCAAUGCAAUCAUGUGCACAUAGAAAACAAGAAUUUUACCAUUUUCAAGUAUCAUUACUGGAGAUCAAAAACAAAAGGAAGUAUAAUAUCUCAAACAAAAC
rnacentral:misc_RNA from 1 species